ensembl:lncRNA
CAUUCUGCAGCAACUCAGGACGGGAUCACGCUCACAGGAAUACACAGCCAACAGAGAGCGAGAGAGACUCUUCUCUUCUACACAGUCUUAUCUUUAUCCCCUCGGUGGGAAUGCGCUGGUACAUUUCCACAGACAUGGCAUAGAGGGGAGAGAGAGAAAGGCUCUUCUGUUUUUCAGCUGGGAAUGGAGAGAGAGUGUUUUUUUUUUAAUGCCUGUCUAUGACUAGGGAGAGAGGGUCCAAUGCUUUCUAUGGCAAGGAAGACUGAAGAAAGGUGGAAGGGAUAUGUACUAAUGUGUAUGUGCUGCAAUGCACAGUAAAGGUUUAGCUAAGUUAUACAGGAUUGAAUGAUGGAAGUAUUUUUCCAGGUUUGUCAUUAUCAGAAAGAAGAGCGAGGACUGUGUAAAAGGCACGUGGUGUAGAUUCAUUUUUUUAUAUAUAUAUAUCCUCUCUGUUGGUGAGAGCUGAGUGAGGGAUUGUAAGUAAAGUGCAUGUCAGUGACGGUGUGGUAAGAUUGGUAGGUGGCAUUGACAGGGUUGUAGUGAAGAGGUAAAGACAUUGGUAAUCCUAGUGAAAGACUGCAUGAGGGCAUGGUUGUAUCAGUGUUAUACAAAUGUUUUCUAACGUUGUCCUCAAAGAUGUAGACUUCCAGCUGGUCCAGCUGACUUCCAACUCUUUCUCUUUUUAUAAUAUAAUUGUCUGUUUUGUUUGGUGUGUGUUUUUCGCAAAUCAACAGCUUGUGCAACAGGGAAUGCUUUAAUGUAGGUAGAUUUUGUCCUGUAGUUUUUGUCAUGUGGUUCUGUAGUUGUAGUGAACAUGGGAUUGCCUUCCCAGAAUGCUCUGCUUCUGAGUGCAUAGAACGUGAACACACUUGUUUAACCCCGUACAAUAUCUCAUGACCUCAGAAUACGCCUCCUACAAUGACAGGUGUCAAUGUAUGACUCAUACCCUAGGACAGGGGUGAAUGACUCAUACCCUAGGACAGGGGUGUAUGACUCGUACCCUAGGACAGGGGUGUAUGACUCGUACCCUAGGACAGGGGUGUAUGACUCAUUCCAUGGAGGGCCUAGUGUCUGCUGGUUUUUGUUUUUUCCUUUCAAUUAUGACCUAGACAACCAGGUGACGGGGGGUUCCUUACGGGUAAUCAGCGACCUUAAUUCACCAAUCAAGUAAAAUGGCGGAGCGAAAACCCACACAUUCGGCUCUCAGUGGAAGGAGGUUGACACGUGCCCUAGGAUAUCUGGAGUCUCUCCAGAACGCUAAAACACCUGUUUUCAGGGCGCCAUGUGGUCUUGCUAGAUCUUCCCAUCCAAUAAUUGUCCAUUUUGUACAUUCAGGUGUGGCUACUUUAUGUAUAUAAUGGUAUGCCUGUGUGUGUGUGUGUGUCUGGUUUAUUCAUCUUGAGAUUAUACAGGUAACUGCCAAAAUAAAGGAAACGCCAACAUAAAGUGUCUUAAUAGGGUUUUGGGCCACCACGAGCCAGAACAGCUUCAAUGCACCUUGGCAUAGAUUCUACAAGUGUCUGGAACUCUACUGGAGGGAUGCGACACCAUUCUUCCACGAGAAUUGCCUUCAUUUGUAGUUUUUUGUUGAUGACGGCGGUGGAAAACACUGUCUCAGGCGCGCGCUCCAGAAUCAAUUGGGUUGAGAUCUGGUGAAUGAGACGGCCAUGGCACAGGAUUUGCAUUGUUUUCGUGCUCAUCAAACCAUUUAGUGACCCCUUGUGCCCUGUGGAAGGGGGCAUUGUCAUCCUAUGGGGGGGCAUAGCCAUGGUAGUCAAGAUAAUGGCCAAAAUUAUACGUUACCCUAAGUAUAUGUUAAUUGUUUAAUUAACUCAGGAAACACACCUGUGUGGAAGUACCUGCUUUCAAUAUAUUUUGUAUCCCUCAUUUACUCAAGUGUUUCCAUUAUUUUGGCAGCUUCCGGUAGAUCCACUGAACCAUUACUCAGUGCUUUCUUUCACCACUAGGAGGCACACUGCAGCUCACCCACAGGCCAAGCAUGUACAUACAUAUGCAGUACAGUGUGGAAUAAUUGCUCUUUGAGUCAUCAUAAACUACGGUCCCAAAUGUGCUCUUCUUCCCCUGGCAGAUGUUAUGGUGGGACAGUGAACUGGCUUUGAGAGUGCCUCCACCCGCAGUCUAUCUGGGGAUGUCGCUCCUCUUGUUAUUCAAGGAUAUUCAUGGCCAACUCAUCUCACCCCAUUUAGGCUCGGUAGUGGUCUGCCAAUCAGAGUCCUACAUCAGAUAUGUCCCUUGAAUGUUGCGCUGAUGAAUUUCCUUGCCAUAGUGAGGGGAGUGGGGGGUGAGGUGAGGUGAGUUUUGCCUAUGUUGGUUAAGGGGAGGGAAAUAUUUUCUUUUAAGGUAGGGAGGGUUAGUAAGGUGUGGGAGAUGUGGACACCAGGGCAUCCUAUGUACUGGGCCCUGACAAGGAUCUGAUAUUUUUGAGAGACCGAGCGGUUCAUUUAUGUCUAUUCAACCAAUCCAUCUUUUGAGGGGAAUUUUUCUGAAGGGCUUGUACAGAAUCAUGUUUUCAAGUUAGAUGGGCUAGUAUCCAAAACACACAAAGGGAAGCGAGUUUAUACACAAAACUCCUUGACUGGUCUGAAACCUCAUCCCUGUGAAUGUAUGUCGAAGUGUCCUGGGGGGGUGUCUUCCCCCAAAACUCCUCUGCAAAAUGGCUGGCACACCCAUGCCAAUCGUCCUAGGGAAAAUUGAGUGGGCAUAUAUGUGUGCCCACUCUGAUUAUCAAGUCUUUGGGUUGGGGGAGGGCAAGGACAGGUGCAACCUUUUGUUGAUAUUCAGAAUAAACGGUCAUCACCACCCAUGAUGAUGGUGAUACUGAUAAUGACAAUGUUGAAAUUAUAUAAUGUUGGUAAGAUAUGACUGACAAAUGUUUCACAUGACAAUGUUUGAGCCAAUCUGUCUCUCAUGCAUUCCUGUCAAUAGACAGAAAAAUACUGAAGAUAAAAUAAAUUAAAAAAAAUGGAAAUAAACAUCUCAAAAAAUGAAAAGCUUUUAUGUUUG